GAUUAACGCUGGCGGCGUGCCUAACACAUGCAAGUCGAGCGGCAGCGAGUUUUACACUGAAUUCUGGAAACUUCUGGUAUAAAUAGAAGAGUUAUUCAAGAAUUUUGUGUAAAAUGUCGGCGAGCGGCGGACGGCUGAGUAACGCGUGGGAAUGUACCCCAAAGUGAGGGAUAACGCACCGAAAGGUGUGCUAAUACCGCAUAUGAUCUUCGGAUUAAAGCCUUCGGGCGCUUUGGGAACAGCCUGCGUCAGAUUAGAUAGUGGUGAGGUAAUGGCUCACCAAGUCGACGAUCUGUAACUGGUUUGAGAGGAUGAUCAGUCAGACUGGAACUGAGACACGGUCCAGACUCCUACGGGAGGCAGCAGUGAGGAAUCUUCCACAAUGGGCGAAAGCCUGAUGGAGCAACGCCGCGUGCAGGAUGAAGGCCUUCGGGUUGUAAACUGCUUUUAUAAGUGAGGAUUAUGACAGUAACUUAUGAAUAAGGAUCGGCUAACUACGUGCCAGCAGCCGCGGUCAUACGUAGGAUCCGAGCGUUAUCCGGAGUGACUGGGCGUAAAGAGUUGCGUAGGUGGUUUAAUAAGCGAAUAGUGAAAUCUGGUGGCUCAACCAUUCAGACUAUUAUUCGAACUGUUGAACUCGAGAGCAGAAGAGGUAGCUGGAAUUUCUAGUGUAGGAGUGAAAUCCGUAGAUAUUAGAAGGAACACCGAUGGCGUAGGCAGGCUACUGGGCUGUUUCUGACACUGAGGCACGAAAGCGUGGGGAGCGAACCGGAUUAGAUACCCGGGUAGUCCACGCCGUAAACGAUGGAUACUAGCUGUUUGGGGUAUCGACCCCCUGAGUAGCGAAGCUAACGCGUUAAGUAUCCCGCCUGUGGAGUACGAUCGCAAGAUUAAAACAUAAAGGAAUUGACGGGGACCCGCACAAGCGGUGGAUCAUGUUCUUUAAUUCGAUGAUAACCGAUAAACCUUACCAGGUCUUGACAUCCUUGGAAUCUUUCAGAAAUGAGAGAGUGCUUUUUAAGAGCCAAGUGACAGGUGAUGCAUGGCCGUCGUCAGCUCGUGUCGUGAGAUGUUUGGUUAAGUCCAUCAACGAGCGCAACCCUUGUGAAUAGUUGUAUUUUUCUAUUCAGACUGCCCCGGCAACGGGGAGGAAGGAGGGGAUGACGUCAGGUCAGUAUUUCCCUUACGUCCUGGGCUAGAAACGUGAUACAAUGGCUAGUACAAUGCGCAGCGAAGCCGCGAGGUGAAGCAAAUCGCAUCAAAGCUAGUCCCAGUUCGGAUUGUAGGCUGAAACUCGCCUGCAUGAAGUCGGAAUCGCUAGUAAUCGCAGAUCAGCAUGCUGCGGUGAAUACGUUCCCGGGUCU
rnacentral:rRNA from 1 species